GACGUAGGGGGCGAGCGUUGUCCGGAUUCAUUGGGCGUAAAGAGCGCGUAGGCGGCCCGGAAAGUGGGGUGUGAAAACCCGAGGCUCAACCUCGGGCGUGCAUUCCAAACUCCCGGGCUCGAGGCAGGUAGGGGAGAUCGGAAUUCCUGGUGUAGCGGUGAAAUGCGCAGAUAUCAGGAGGAACGACCGGUGGCGAAAGGCGGACUCUGGCCUGAGGCCUGUCAACGUGGACGCGACUCGAAAUGGACCGUAAAGGGACGUCGAAGGGGAGGAUCGA
rnacentral:rRNA from 1 species